rnacentral:rRNA from 1 species
UGGGGAAUCUUGCACAAUGGGGGCAACCCUGAUGCAGCGACGCCGCGUGAGCGAUGAAGCCCUUCGGGGCGUAAAGCUCUUUCGACCGGAACGAUAAUGACGGUACCGGGAGAAGAAGCUGCGGCUAACUACGUGCCAGCAGCCGCGGUAAUACGUAGGCAGCAAGCGUUGUUCGGAGUUACUGGGCGUAAAGAGUGCGUAGGCGGUUUUCUAAGUUCGGUGUGAAAUCUCCCGGCUUAACUGGGAGGGUGCGCCGAAGACUGGGAAGCUGGAGUGUGGGAAAGGCAGGCGGAAUUCCUGGUGUAGCUGUGAAAUGCGUAGAGAUCAGGAGGAACACCGGCGGUGUAGACGGCUUGCUAGACCAUAACUGAUGCUGAGGCACGAAAGCGUGGGUAGCAAACA